rnacentral:rRNA from 1 species
AUGAUUGAAAAAUAUGGGCUCGAUAAGAAUACAUUCCUGACCCAGCUUUACGAGGUGAGGGGGAAGUGGGCAAAGCCAUACUUCAUGGGCGUGUUCUGUGCAAAGAUGACAAGCACACAACAAAGCGAGAGCACAAACCACCUUCUGAAAGCCUAUGUACCACCCGGGUACCCCAUGCACUUGUUCAUCCGACAAUAUGAGAAGAUGCAAUUUGACCGCGAUUCGGAAGAAAGUUACCAGGAGAAAAGGACAAAACUAGGCGGGAUUGUCCUGAAGCAAAAUAUCCCAAUUGAGGUGCAUGCCUCACAGGUUUAUACCAGGAUAAUGUUUGAGAAAUUUGAUGAAGCACUGUAUGAAUGUGGGUCGUAUGAU